rnacentral:misc_RNA from 1 species
GAUGAAGAACGUAGCGAAAUGCGAUAAGUAAUGUGAAUUGCAGAAUUCAGUGAAUCAUCGAAUCUUUGAACGCACAUUGCGCCCGCCAGUAUUCUGGCGGACAUGCCUGUCUGAGCGUCAUUUCAACCCUCAUGCCCCUAGGGCGUGGUGUUGGGGAUCGGCCAAAGCCCGCGAGGGACGGCCGGCCCCUAAAUCUAGUGGCGGACCCGUCGUGGCCUCCUCUGCGAAGUAGUGAUAUUCCGCAUCGGAGAGCGAUGAGCCCCUGCCGUUAAACCCCCAACUUUCCAAGGUUGACCUCAGAUCAGGUAGGAAUACCCGCUGAACUUAAGCAUAUCAAUAAGCGGAGGA